CUGGACAGGUCGGGAAUCCAUCACAGGAAAAAAAAAAAUCCUUUUUCAUAUUUUUUUAAUUAGAAGGGCAACAUCAUACGAAGAAAAAUAACUAUUUAUUUAUUUUUUAUUAAAUAGCAAAUUUUGCUAAAGUCGAUGCGUCAUAUUUUCGCAUGUCCACAUCUAUUAAAGCACGAGGCAAUCAGCUGCAUUUAGCCGGCGCGAGAUUUCAAGUACAAGCUAACCCUGAAGGUUAACCGCCAGACAGGUAUUAGCUGCUAGUUUUUUUUUGACAUACAGACACAUAAUGAGUACUUUGGAAGCACAGCUGUUUUCUGAAAUUGACAAGCUUCGUGUUCAGCUGAUGAACAACGUCGACUUUAAGGCAGAGAGCCAACGUUCUGUGGGGGAAAUCAGUCCGGAUGAAAUUUUAACUCGCAUUGAAGGUGUAAUCCUGGGAAUAGUUACCUGUCUGUCCAGAGAUGAAGUCCCUAUCCUGGUACUGCCCAACAGGUCCAGUCGGGCCAAUGUCAGUUUUGACAGUGCUGUCGGACUUCAGAUGAAUUCAGAGCGCUCUGUCACCUCCGUCAGGAGUGACUGUCCUUCAUCUGUUACUAAAUUUGCACAAAUUCUGAAGAUUCUCUCCGUCAUCUACAGACUAGUGCAGAGCAACUCCUAUGCGACGAAAAGAGACAUAUAUUACAACAACACACAGCUGUUUGGGUCACAGAGAACUGUGGAUAGCAUAAUAGAUGACAUGUCCUGCAUGUUGAAGGUUCCUCGCAGAUCACUACAUGUGUUGGCCACAUCCAAGGGCUUAAUCUCUGGUGAUCUGUGUUAUUUGGAGGAGGAUGGAACAAGGAUUGACUGCCACUCCAACUCAGCAGCUGUUUCAGUUUCCCCAAACAUCACUGGAAUUAGAAAUAUUGUUUCAUCAGCUAAAUUUAUAAUGAUAGUAGAAAAGGAUGCAACAUUCCAAAGGCUGCUGGAUGAUGACUUCUGCACAAAGCUCUCUCCUUGCAUCAUAAUCACAGGUAAAGGUGUGCCAGAUGUGAACAGCAGGCUGAUGGUGAGAAAACUGUGGGACACGCUGCACAUUCCCAUCUUCGCCCUGGUGGAUGCUGACCCUCAUGGCAUUGAGAUCAUGUGCAUCUACAAGUAUGGAUCAGUGGCAAUGUCAUUUGAGGCCCACAGUCUGACCGUCCCAAGCGUUAUGUGGCUUGGCCUUCUCCCCUCUGACCUGCAGAGGUUGAGGGUUCCUGAAGAUUCCCUGAUUCCUCUUACCAAGAGAGAUGAAAGCAAGCUCAGCAGUUUGCUAAAGAGACCUUACUUAACCAUCCAACCAGACUGGUGCAAAGAGAUGGAACUGAUGCAGCAGAGCAAAGUUAAGGCUGAAAUACAGUCCCUGUCAUCCAUAGCCCCUGACUUCCUCACCAAUAUCUAUCUGCCCAAUAAGCUUCGAUAUGGGGGCUGGGUGUGAGCACUAAGAGGGGGCGGAGUUUUAUCUAUGGGGCGGGGCUGUGACAGCAGGGCCGAGCUCCAUUUGUGGCUGUGGCCGGCAGAAGCAUGCCGCUCCUUGCCAGAAGACAGCCUGCCGGACGGAGCCAGGGGAUUCUUCAUUGGGAAGAACUGGUUCAGCCGAACCGGAAGAACCAGAUGCUGCCAAGAUCCCCUUGUGUGGAGGGUAACAGGUGUUCCGCAUUUCCAUCAACCUGGAGGAGUAUAAGAAGGUGGAGCUGUCAGCACUCCACUGCCUGAGUUUUAACCUCUGUGGAAUCCUCAAGUCCUGGUCUCAUGUUCUUGUGACCAUCAGCUCUGGCUCUUAAGUCCUCAGUUUUGGAUCCUGCCUCAGCCUAAGUACUCAAACCUCAGAAGAACCUAGUUUGGUUCAAUAUCCAGCUGACAGCUCAAUACCAACUCUGUCAGACAAGCUCACCCUGCUCACCCUCCACCAAUUGUUCACCAAAGACUCACCAGAAUACUCACCGUCGUCCUGGAUUAUUCACCAUUUCCGCAGCAGCGUCUAUUCAGUCUUCCCAGGCUCCACAUCAUUCUUCCACGCCAACAAAACAUGCUGUGCCUCCAGUCCCGGUUCCAGUUCAACAUCCAUUACCUGUCAAAUAAACUUAUUAAACUUUU